rnacentral:rRNA from 1 species
UACAGAGGUCCCGAGCGUUGUUCGGAUUUAUUGGGCGUAAAGGGUGCGUAGGCGGCGGAGUAAGUUGGGGGUGAAAUCCCGGGGCUUAACCUCGGAAUUGCAUUCAAUACUGCUUCGCUCGAGUACUGGAGAGGAGGCUGGAAUUUACGGUGUAGCAGUGAAAUGCGUAGAUAUCGUAAGGAAGGCCGGUGGCGAAAGCGAGCCUCUGGACAGUUACUGACGCUGAUGCACGAAGGCCAGGGGAGCAAACGGG